CAGGAGAAAGAGGAGAGUCACGUCAUCUAGGAGACGGGCCCAGAGAUACGUGACAAUGACACCCCGUGGGCAGGGACCAGGCAGAAGAAUAACAUUGCCCUUGUGCUGGGCCCAGCAAUAUGCCACCCUCUAUUCUGUGGGCAGGUCCAGUUAGAAGAGGAGAGUCCCAUCACCUUGGUGCUGGGCCCAGCAAUAUGUCACAGUGCCUUCUUCAGGGCAGGGCCAAGGCAAAUGUGUAACUUCAACUUGGUGUUGGGGCCAGCAAUAGGUCACAAUCUCCCCUGUGGGCAGAACCUAAGAAGAAGAGAAAAGUCACAUGAGUUAGAUUUAUUAAGGUUUCUACAAGUAUAACUUCUACUGGUUUAGGAGAUUUAGUUAUAAAUCUCCUUUUCAUUCUUUUGGUGGUUACACUUGAGCUUUGAGGAUACAUUCUUUAUUUCAAAAUGUCUAAAGUUGGUCUAUAAUUUCCACUUUUGGUCAACAAGUGUAAGAACUUUGAUACUGUUUCUUGAAACUCGAAUUACUCACUCUCCUCAUUUUGCAUGUUUCUUCCUACCUGAUGUUUCAGUUCACCUUGUUUCUAUAUUUAAUUUUUUCUUGCUUGAUAUACUCUAUCCUGACAACUUUCUUUUUCUCUGUUUUCAUGUUUGUCUUAAUUAUUUCUUCAGGAUUAAGUUUAUUUCACCAUGAAGCAUACAUUUUGUUAGUUCUUUCAGUCUUUGAGUGGUUAACUUAGCUUUGCUCAGAAACAUCUUUAUUUGAAUAACCUUCAGUUCUCAUGCUCACCUUGUAGAUAGUCUUAUGGGUUCUGUUAUUAUAAAGAGAAGUCUCCCUAUCCUUCCUGUGCAGAUACUCUGGCUAGUUUUCUCUUGUGGGUUGCAGUUUCAUCAGUGGUUCUCGGUCUGGAUUUAUUUUCAUUCAUUCUGCUUGGUGCUCAUUAUAAUUCCCACAUGUGCAGAGAAUAGGACUAGGAGUGAGUUGCCUAAAGAGAGGCUAUUGUGAUUGAAAACCAAGUCCUGAGAUCAGCUCCAUGCAUCACAACCUAAUUGCAUUUAUUCCUGUCCUACUUAAUAAACUACUAUCUCUGGAAAUUAAGAUUGAGGCCAUAAUUUAUUUUUAGCUACAAAGAGAAAGCUGGCCUGCAAGGUGGGAAGACAGGAAAAAAAUCUAAAGAGCUGUUGGCUUGGGGGCAUCAAGGAGCCUGGGAGAUAGGCCACAGUCCUGGGUUGUUUUCCCAGCCUGACACACAUGCCAAGACCCUCAAACAAAGACUAGCUGGUCAUCAGCUCCUCAAAAAUGCGGCAGCCUCCAUGCUGAUUGGGUCAGCAAGAGCUAAAAGGAGAACCUGUGCUCAGUCAAUAAGGAAUGCCCUUACCAUCAGAUGCCUGCUUGCUUGAAAAGAAAAUUGAGAUAAGUUCAUAGUCAAGCUUUAUCAAGACAUACCAUUGACUUCUUUUGCUUCAGAACGUGAGCCCUCUCUAUCACUGACUGGCAGGCACUGCCCGUAUUUCUGAUCCUGACUCCUUUAGGAAGCCUAAAUGUGCUUAAUCUGAAGUGCCCUAUUCCUAUUCCCCUCAUUGACCGAGAUAGGACCUGCUCUAUCUCAUCAGGAAACACGGACUGCAUUUUAUAGCUUGAUGGUGUCAGCAUGUCUCAGCAAUAAAAACUGCUGUUCUCAAUGUCACCAAUCACAUGGAUGUCACAAAUCACUUGCAAAGUCAACAGACUCUUGUCUGCCUGCACAGUCUUCAGAAAAUGUGUCCAGUUGAAUUCAAAGCAGGGCAUUCUAAUUAGAACAAUGUACAGAAGGAAAGGAGGUAUGACAGUCUGAGAGGAGUUUGAGGAACAGAAAGUAGACAGAUGCACUCAACCACAGAUCCUUCUGACCCGAAGGUUUAUGCACCUUGAGGACUGCUGAACACUGUGACACAACUAGCUGGUGCAUCUAAGAGACUGGCUGGGGCAGCAGCUUUGAAUACUUCUCCAGCUACCACAGAGACUGCAAGACAUCCAUUCAGGCACAACUUAUUUUAUCAGCAAGCCUUCUGCAAGCCGUUCCCAAAAAGAGAAAUGAGCUGUGGCCUGGAAAGGAUGAGAAUAAAGGGACACAGUUUGCUGCCGGUG